GAUGAACGCUAACUAUAGGCUUAACACAUGCAAGUCGAGGGGAAACGAUAGAGAAAGCUUGCUUUUUCUAGGCGUCGACCGGCGCACGGGUGAGUAACGCGUAUCCAACCUGCCCACCACUUGGGGAUAACCUUGCGAAAGUAAGACUAAUACCCAAUGAUAUCUCUAGAAGACAUCUGAAAGAGAUUAAAGAUUUAUCGGUGAUGGAUGGGGAUGCGUCUGAUUAGCUUGUUGGCGGGGUAACGGCCCACCAAGGCGACGAUCAGUAGGGGUUCUGAGAGGAAGGUCCCCCACAUUGGAACUGAGACACGGUCCAAACUCCUACGGGAGGCAGCAGUGAGGAAUAUUGGUCAAUGGGCGAGAGCCUGAACCAGCCAAGUAGCGUGCAGGAUGACGGCCCUAUGGGUUGUAAACUGCUUUUAUAAGGGAAUAAAGUGAGUCUCGUGAGACUUUUUGCAUGUACCUUAUGAAUAAGGACCGGCUAAUUCCGUGCCAGCCGCCGCUGUAA
rnacentral:rRNA from 1 species